rnacentral:lncRNA from 1 species
ACUUUAUGGAAUAAGAAUAAGCAUUAAGCACUCAGAUUUGUGUAAUCAACUAACACUUCACAAAUUUGGUGUAAAAGCAUUAAUUUAUGGCCUUUGUAAUUUUAGUAAUUACCUAUUUUCCAUUAUUUUAUUAAAAUUUUCAAGGUCUAGCUGGUCAUUUCUUUUACUAUUUAUUAUGGAUAUUCUGACAUCAUGAGUUAGGUAAUAAUACCAUAAAUUCUCAGCUUCUUUACUUGUUUGUCACAUCACAAAUUCCCAGACACCAUACCUUAAAUAUUUUUACUAGUAAGUGUAGUAUGUGUUUUAUGUUGGGGUAAUAAGUUAUGGGCCCAGUACGUGGCCUCUGGUUUCUCAUUUAAUGCACAGUAGGUGUAAAUUAAUAUAUCACAGCACAGCUUUUCUGAGGGCUAUAACUAGACUGUGCCUACAGCUGGUUUGCAGUAGAGAAAAGUCUCUUCUAAAAGAGCUACCACUUUGUGCUCAUGUCCAAAAUUUAAAGAUUUCCUUCUUGGAUGUGCCAUAUGUUUUACAGAUUCUACUUUGUAGAACUUUUAAAAAAGGUCUUGGAGAAGCUCAAGAGUUUCAGAUUUCAUUUGAAGUGAGAGAUUUCUUGCUUAAAAUAUAUGAAGGACCAUUAAAAAGGGGAUUUGACCGUCAAAUGACAGCACACAGGGUUCGAGGAAAAGCCUAAGUAAGUCCUGUUUGUGUUAUUUACCUCCUAAAUCAUGUAGAAAAUCUGUUUUCUUACAGGGGAAUGGAGUUGUUACGCAAUUCAUGCACAGGUUGAUUAUCCCCUUGAUAUGUAAGCAGUCCUCACUUUGUACAGUAGUGUGGGGCAGUAAAAAUAAUUGUGCAAAUGAUCUUAAAAUCCAUAGGGGGAAGAAUCAUGAUUGUUCUGUGAUCUUUAAAUAUUUCUUGUCAAAACACUAAAAACACCUUUACUGUUUACACAUGUAUAUACAUGGUUACAUGUACAUUAAGGACACAUGAAAAUAGUAAAAGGAAUGUUUGGUACACUGUUAUAUAAAACAUAUUAAUGUGUUUUAUUUGUAAAACUUAGGUGUAGUUUCAACAAUGCUUGUCUUCUUGUUGUAUGACUUACAAGAAGGAGUAAGAAACCUUUCUAUGUGUUGGCCAAUUGUUAUGCUCAUUUUCUUAAAUGUUUAUUUUAUUUUGAGAGAGAGAGGAGAGAGAGAGAGAGAGAGAGAGAGAGAGUGAGCAUGUGCAUGAGCAGGGGAGGGGCAGAAAGAGAAUCCCAAGCAAGGUUGCACUGUCAGAGCAGAGCUGGACACGGGGCUUGAACCCAUGAACCAUGAGAUCAUGGCCUGAGCCAAAAUCAAGAGUUGGAGGCUUAACUGACUGAGCCCCCCCAGGCACCCCUGUUAUAUUCCUUUUAAGUUUGGAUCACCUCCCCAC